AAUAUGAGUAUUCCAAAUUAAGACUAAAAAGACCCAACCAUAAGCUUGUGUAGGGCCGAAAGGCUUAAUGGGCUAGCAUAGAACUGAAGAGGCAUCUAUGUUCCUAGUGCUGUCCUUGACUGGUGUGUAGUGGCCUAGUGGGUUUCCGUCUUUGCAGCUCAGAUCGCAGCAAAAGCUUACUCAGUUCCGUCAAUGGCUCCAGUGGCUCCUCGUUCCGGCGACGCCAUCUUCGCUAACAUCGAGCGUGUUAAUGCGGAGCUUUUUACUCUAACGUAUGGCGCGAUUGUGCGUCAAUUGCUCACGGAUCUGGAAGAGGUUGAAGAGGUGAACAAGCAGCUUGAACAAAUGGGUUAUAACAUUGGAAUCCGUUUGAUUGACGAAUUUUUAGCAAAAUCCAAUGUCUCAAGGUGCGUUGAUUUCAGAGAGACUGCUGAUGUAAUUGCAAAGGUUGGUUUUAAGAUGUUCCUUGGUGUUACUGCAUCUGUGGGCAACUGGGAUGCUGAAGGUACAUGUUGUAGUAUCAUUUUGGAGGAUAAUCCUUUGGUAGACUUUGUUGAGCUUCCUGACACCUGUCAAGGUCUUUACUAUUGCAACAUGUUAAGUGGUGUCAUUAGAGGAGCCUUAGAGAUGGUGUCAAUGAAGACUGAGGUCACUUGGAUCCGCGAUGUGCUUCGAGGUGAUGAUGUGUUUGAGUUGCAGAUGCUUCAUGCUUAAGAAAAUAAAGAUUAGCAAACAUCUUUUUAAGGACACAUGAACUCGUCCCAGUAGGAGGAGAAGAUGCAGAAUUUAAAAGAUUCAACUAGGAGCUCGCGACUAAAGGUUAAAAAGAAAAAAGAAGUUAAAGGUAUUUGGUUGUACUUUAUUACAAAUAUUAUUUUUGGUUUCUCACGCUAUAAGCUAUUACCUAGUCGGAUAGGUCAAGGACUAAUCGUGGUGGUCUGAGCUCCAUUUAAAGAUUUGCUACUGGCCAAUGGAUUAUUACAUGCACAAGACAGAAUUUAAAUUCUCGACACUUAUUUAAGCAGUUGAGUGAGCUGACUACUUGAUGAACCAAGUUGGUUGAUUACAAAUAUUAUGUAAUCACUCAUUAUUUUUGUUUUUCAAUCAUAUAUUAUCUUUGUCUCA